GACGAACGCUGGCGGCGUGCUUAACACAUGCAAGUCGAACGGUAAGGCCCUUCGGGGUACACGAGUGGCGAACGGGUGAGUAACACGUGGGUGAUCUGCCCUGCACUUCGGGAUAAGCCUGGGAAACUGGGUCUAAUACCGGAUAGGACCACUGCCUGCAUGGGUGGUGGUGGAAAGCUUUUGCGGUGUGGGAUGGGCCCGCGGCCUAUCAGCUUGUUGGUGGGGUGAUGGCCUACCAAGGCGACGACGGGUAGCCGGCCUGAGAGGGUGACCGGCCACACUGGGACUGAGAUACGGCCCAGAUUCCUACGGGAGGCAGCAGUGGGGAAUAUUGCACAAUGGGCGCAAGCCUGAUGCAGCGACGCCGCGUGAGGGAUGACGGCCUUCGGGUUGUAAACCUCUUUCAGCACCGACGAAGCGCAAGUGACGGUAGGUGCAGAAGAAGGACCGGCCAACUACGUGCGAGCCGCCGCCGCGG
rnacentral:rRNA from 1 species